CGUACACUCCUGCGGGAGGCAGCAGUGGGGAAUAUUGGACAAUGGGCGCAAGCCUGAUCCAGCCAUGCCGCGUGAGUGAUGAAGGCCCUAGGGUUGUAAAGCUCUUUCACCGGUGAAGAUAAUGACGGUAACCGGAGAAGAAGCCCCGGCUAACUUCGUGCCAGCAGCCGCGGUAAUACGAAGGGGGCUAGCGUUGUUCGGAUUUACUGGGCGUAAAGCGCACGUAGGCGGACUAUUAAGUCAGGGGUGAAAUCCCGGGGCUCAACCCCGGAACUGCCUUUGAUACUGGUAGUCUUGAGUUCGAGAGAGGUGAGUGGAAUUCCGAGUGUAGAGGUGAAAUUCGUAGAUAUUCGGAGGAACACCAGUGGCGAAGGCGGCUCACUGGCUCGAUACUGACGCUGAGGUGCGAAAGCGUGGGGAGCAAACAGGAUUAGAUACCCUAGUAGUGC
rnacentral:rRNA from 1 species